AAACGGUGGUAAUGCCGGAUGCUCCAUCACACUGCAUGGUGUGUUGGGAAAGCCUUUGCGGCAUGGGAUGGGGUCGCGUCCUAUCAGCUUGAUGGCGGGGUAACGGCCCACCAUGGCUUCGACGGGUAGCCGGCCUGAGAGGGCGACCGGCCACAUUGGGACUGAGAUACGGCCCAGACUCCUACGGGAGGCAGCAGUGGGGAAUAUUGCACAAUGGGCGCAAGCCUGAUGCAGCGACGCCGCGUGAGGGAUGGAGGCCUUCGGGUUGUAAACCUCUUUUGUUAGGGAGCAAGGCAUUUUGUGUUGAGUGUACCUUUCGAAUAAGCACCGGCUAACUACGUGCCAGCAGCCGCGGUAAUACGUAGGGUGCAAGCGUUAUCCGGAAUUAUUGGGCGUAAAGGGCUCGUAGGCGGUUCGUCGCGUCCGGUGUGAAAGUCCAUCGCUUAACGGUGGAUCCGCGCCGGGUACGGGCGGGCUUGAGUGCGGUAGGGGAGACUGGAAUUCCCGGUGUAACGGUGGAAUGUGUAGAUAUCGGAAAGAAA
rnacentral:rRNA from 1 species